rnacentral:rRNA from 1 species
UGGGGAAUAUUGCACAAUGGGCGAAAGCCUGAUGCAGCGACGCCGCGUGAGGGAUGACGGCCUUCGGGUUGUAAACCUCUUUCAGCGGGGACGAAGGGUGACUGACGGUACCCGCAGAAGAAGCACCGGCUAACUACGUGCCAGCAGCCGCGGUAAUACGUAGGGUGCGAGCGUUGUCCGGAAUUAUUGGGCGUAAAGAGCUCGUAGGCGGUUUGUUGCGUCGGCUGUGAAAACUUCACGCUUAACGGGGAGCCUGCAGUCGAUACGGGCAGACUUGAGUUCGGCAGGGGAGACUGGAAUUCCUGGUGUAGCGGUGAAAUGCGCAGAUAUCAGGAGGAACACCGGUGGCGAAGGCGGGUCUCUGGGCCGAUACUGACGCUGAGGAGCGAAAGCGUGGGGAGCGAAC